rnacentral:rRNA from 1 species
UGCAGUCGACGGCAGCGCGGGCUUCGGCCUGGCGGCGAGUGGCGAACGGGUGAGUAAUAUAUCGGAACGUACCCAAGAGUGGGGGAUAACGUAGCGAAAGUUACGCUAAUACCGCAUACGAUCUAAGGAUGAAAGCAGGGGAUCGCAAGACCUUGUGCUCCUGGAGCGGCCGAUAUCUGAUUAGCUAGUUGGUGGGGUAAAGGCCCACCAAGGCAACGAUCAGUAGCUGGUCUGAGAGGACGACCAGCCACACUGGAACUGAGACACGGUCCAGACUCCUACGGGAGGCAGCAGUGGGGAAUUUUGGACAAUGGGGGCAACCCUGAUCCAGCAAUGCCGCGUGAGUGAAGAAGGCCUUCGGGUUGUAAAGCUCUUUUGUCAGGGAAGAAAAGGCUGUGGCUAAUAUCCACGACUGCUGACGGUACCUGAAGAAUAAGCACCGGCUAACUACGUGCCAGCAGCCGCGGUAAUACGUAGGGUGCAAGCGUUAAUCGGAAUUACUGGGCGUAAAGCGUGCGCAGGCGGUUUCGUAAGUCUGUCGUGAAAUCCCCGGGCUUAACCUGGGAAUGGCGAUGGAGACUGCGAGGCUAGAGUUUGGCAGAGGGGGGUAGAAUUCCACGUGUAGCAGUGAAAUGCGUAGAGAUGUGGAGGAACACCGAUGGCGAAGGCAGCCCCCUGGGUCAAAACUGACGCUCAUGCACGAAAGCGUGGGGAGCAAACAGGAUUAGAUACCCUGGUAGUCCACGCCCUAAACGAUGUCUACUAGUUGUUGGGUCUUAAUUGACUUAGUAACGCAGCUAACGCGUGAAGUAGACCGCCUGGGGAGUACGGUCGCAAGAUUAAAACUCAAAGGAAUUGACGGGGACCCGCACAAGCGGUGGAUGAUGUGGAUUAAUUCGAUGCAACGCGAAAAACCUUACCUACCCUUGACAUGGCAGGAAUCCCGGAGAGAUCUGGGAGUGCUCGAAAGAGAACCUGCACACAGGUGCUGCAUGGCUGUCGUCAGCUCGUGUCGUGAGAUGUUGGGUUAAGUCCCGCAACGAGCGCAACCUUUGUCAUUAGUUGCUACGCAAGAACACUCUAAUG